CCUACGGGCGGCAGCAGUAGGGAAUAUUGCUCAAUGGGGGAAACCCUGAUGCAGCGACGCCGCGUGUGGGAAGACGGUCCUCUGGAUUGUAAACCACUGUCCCCAGGGACGAAGAUGACGGUACCUGGGGAGGAAGCUCCGGCUAACUACGUGCCAGCAGCCGCGGUAAUACGUAGGGAGCGAGCGUUGUCCGGAAUUACUGGGUGUAAAGGGAGCGUAGGCGGGACUGCAAGUUGGGUGUCAAAUCUACCGGCUCAACCGGUAGCCGCACUCAAAACUGCAGUUCUUGAGUGAAGUAGAGGCAGGCGGAAUUCCUAGGGUAGCGGUGAAAUGCGGAGAUAUUAGGAGGAACACCAGUGGCGAAGGCGGCCUGCUGGGCUUUUACUGACGCUGAGGCUCGAAAGUGUGGGGAGCAAACAGGAUUAGAUACCCCAGUAGUC
rnacentral:rRNA from 1 species